GGAAUUCCCGGUGUAGCGGUGAAAUGCGUAGAGAUCGGGAAGAACACCGGUGGCGAAAGCGCUCUGCUGGGCCGCAACUGACACUCAGGGACGAAAGCUAGGGGAGCGAAUGGGAUUAGAUACCCCAGUAGUCCUAGCCGUAAACGAUGGAGACUAGGUGUUGCCUGUAUCGACCCGGGCAGUGCCGAAGCUAACGCGUUAAGUCUCCCGCCUGGGGAGUACGCACGCAAGUGUGAAACUCAAAGGAAUUGACGGGGGCCCGCACAGGCGGUGGAGUACGUGGUUUAAUUCGAUGCAACGCGAAGAACCUUACCAGGGCUUGACAUGUCCGGAACCCCGGGGAAACUCGGGGGUGCCUUCGGGAGCCGGAACACAGGUGGUGCAUGGCUGUCGUCAGCUUGUGUCGUGAGAUGUUGGGUUAAGUCCCGCAACGAGCGCAACCCUCGUCCUUAGUUGCCAGCAUUAAGUUGGGCACUUUAGGGAGACUGCCGGUGACAAACCGGAGGAAGGUGGGGAUGACGUCAAGUCAUCAUGCCCCUUACGUCCUGGGCGACACACGUACUACAAUGGGGAAGACAAAGGGUAGCCAAGACGCGAGUCCGAGCCAAUCCCAGAAACUUCUCCUCAGUUCAGAUUGCAGGCUGCAACUCGCCUGCAUGAAGGAGGAAUCGCUAGUAAUCGCAGGUCAGC
rnacentral:rRNA from 1 species